rnacentral:rRNA from 1 species
UACCGGCAGCCCGAGUGAUGGCCAAUCUUAUUGGGCCUAAAGCGUCCGUAGCCGGCCGGACAAGUCUGUUGGGAAAUCCAGUGGCUCAACCACUGGGCUUCCAGCGGAAACUGUUCGGCUUGGGGCCGGAAGACCUGAGGGGUACGUCCGGGGUAGGAGUGAAAUCCUAUAAUCCUGGACGGACCACCGGUGGCGAAAGCGCCUCAGGAGGACGGACCCGACGGUGAGGGACGAAAGCUAGGGUCUCGAACCGG